rnacentral:rRNA from 1 species
GUGGGGAAUUGUUCGCAAUGGGCGCAAGCCUGACGACGCAACGCCGCGUGGAGGAUGAAGAUCUUCGGGUCGUAAACUCCUGUCGAGCGGGACGAAUGGCCUGCGGGUAAAUAAUCCGCAGGAGUGACGGUACCGCGAGAGGAAGCCCCGGCUAACUCCGUGCCAGCAGCCGCGGUAAUACGGGGGGGGCAAGCGUUGUUCGGAAUUACUGGGCGUAAAGGGCUCGUAGGUGGCCGAUUCAGUCAGACGUGAAAUCCCUCGGCUCAACCGGGGAACUGCGUCUGAUACUAGUUGGCUUGAAUCCGGGAGAGGGACGCGGAAUUCCAGGUGUAGCGGUGAAAUGCGUAGAUAUCUGGAGGAACACCGGUGGCGAAGGCGGCGUCCUGGACCGGUAUUGACACUGAGGAGCGAAAGCCAGGGGAGCAAACGGGAUUAGAAACCCGUGUAGUCC